rnacentral:pre_miRNA from 1 species
GUGUCAUAAUUAUGGUUUUCGAUGCUGCCUUGUUACCUACGGUACCAGGUAGAAAGUAAGUCAUCUCGUACCGUGAGUAAUAAAGCAUUCUCGGAGGCUCA